GGGGAAUAUUGCACAAUGGGCGAAAGCCUGAUGCAGCAACGCCGCGUGAGUGAUGAAGGCCUUCGGGUUGUAAAGCUCUGUCUUCUGGGACGAUAAUGACGGUACCAGAGGAGGAAGCCACGGCUAACUACGUGCCAGCAGCCGCGGUAAUACGUAGGUGGCAAGCGUUGUCCGGAUUUACUGGGCGUAAAGGAUGCGUAGGCGGAUACUUAAGUCAGAUGUGAAAAUCCCGGGCUUAACUUGGGAACUGCCUUUGAAACUGGGUAUCUAGAGUGCGGUAGAGGAAAGUGGAAUUCCUAUUGUAGCGGUGAAAUGCGUAGAGAUUAGGAAGAACUCCAGUGGCGACGGCGACUUUCUGGACCGUAACUGACGCUGAGGCAUGAAAGCGUGGGGAGCAAACA
rnacentral:rRNA from 1 species